UUCCUCUUGGUAUAAGAGGUAAGGCCUGCUCACUGACUAGGUUGAAGAGCCGCAGUAUAUUGACUGUGCUAAGGUAGCAUAAUCAUUAGUCCUUUAAUUGGGGACUGGUAUGAAUGGCUAAACGAGAAAUUAGCUUUCUUUGUUAUGGUUUGUUGAAUUUAACUUGUAAGUGAAAAGGCUUACAUGAUUCAGAAAGACGAGAAGACCCUAUAGAGUUUUACAAAGGCCUAAAAUACAGCUUAUUAGUUUUUAAGGGUUAUAUUUUGGAAAUUUGUUUGGUUGGGGCGACAUAAAGAUAAAAAAAACUCUUUGUAGUAUAAACUUUGGUGGAAGAAAAGGUUUGAUCCUCUAAAAGGGAUUAUAAGAAAAAAUUACCUUAGGGAUAACAGCGUAAUCUUCUUUUAGAGUUCAAAUCGACAAGAAGGUUUGCGACCUCGAUGUUGGACUAAAAUUUGGGCAAGGUGCAGCAGCUUUGUUUCUGGGUCUGUUCGACCCGUAAUAUUUUACAUGAUCUGAGUUCAGACCG
rnacentral:rRNA from 1 species